rfam:Heligmosomoides polygyrus genome assembly, scaffold: HPBE_contig0001970
GCGCCGGUGGUGUAAAGGCGUACAGCAUUCCCGCUCGGUCAGAGGUAGGUGCGGGUUCGAGUCCCGCCUGGCGCU